GUGCCAGCCGCCGCGGUAAUACGUAGGGGCCAAGCGUUGUCCGGAUUUAUUGGGCGUAAAGAGCUCGUAGGCGGUUCGGUAAGUCAGCUGUGAAAUCUCCACGCUCAACGUGGAGGGGUCAGCUGAUACUGCCGUGACUUGAGUCUGGUAGGGGAGUGCGGAAUUCCCGGUGUAGCGGUGAAAUGCGCAGAUAUCGGGAGGAACACCAGUGGCGAAGGCGGCACUCUGGGCCAGUACUGACGCUGAGGAGCGAAAGCGUGGGGAGCGAACAGGAUUAGAUACCCUGGUAGUCCACGCCGUAAACGUUGGGCACUAGGUGUGGGAACCUAUCGACGGUUUCCGUGCCGUAGCUAACGCAUUAAGUGCCCCGCCUGGGGAGUACGGCCGCAAGGCUAAA
rnacentral:rRNA from 1 species